AGGAGUGUAGCUCAAUUGGUAGAGCGCCGGUCUCCAAAACCGGAGGUUGGGGGUUCGAGGCCCUCCACUCCUGCCA
rnacentral:tRNA from 1 species